rnacentral:lncRNA from 1 species
ACUUGAUCUAGGGUAUUUGAAGUCUCUAGAAAAUAAUUUUUGCGAUUUUUCGAUAUCAUUUACCUAGUGAUCGAAAGGAUUCAAAAUUAAUAAUUUUUAAUGGUUGAUAUCUGCCGUUUUCAAGUUUAACGGUGUAGAAGUAUUCAAAUCAGAUAAAAUUUUGAUACAAAAUUCUUUAUACUGUCUACAACAAGAUCAAUAUUUAUGAUCGAAAAUUUUAGUACUAUAUCACCACUUUUUAUAGGAUUUUUAUUUUCAGCCGUUAAAAAUUAUUGAUUUUGAAUCCUU